rnacentral:rRNA from 1 species
CGGCGUGCCUAAUACAUGCAAGUCGAACGAGUUCUGAUUAUUGAAAGGUGCUUGCAUCUUGAUUUAAUUUUGAACGAGUGGCGGACGGGUGAGUAACACGUGGGUAACCUGCCCUUAAGUGGGGGAUAACAUUUGGAAACAGAUGCUAAUACCGCAUAAAUCCAAGAACCGCAUGGUUCUUGGCUGAAAGAUGGCGUAAGCUAUCGCUUUUGGAUGGACCCGCGGCGUAUUAGCUAGUUGGUGAGGUAACGGCUCACCAAGGCAAUGAUACGUAGCCGAACUGAGAGGUUGAUCGGCCACAUUGGGACUGAGACACGGCCCAAACUCCUACGGGAGGCAGCAGUAGGGAAUCUUCCACAAUGGACGCAAGUCUGAUGGAGCAACGCCGCGUGAGUGAAGAAGGCUUUCGGGUCGUAAAACUCUGUUGUUGGAGAAGAAUGGUCGGCAGAGUAACUGUUGUCGGCGUGACGGUAUCCAACCAGAAAGCCACGGCUAACUACGUGCCAGCAGCCGCGGUAAUACGUAGGUGGCAAGCGUUAUCCGGAUUUAUUGGGCGUAAAGCGAGCGCAGGCGGUUUUUUAAGUCUGAUGUGAAAGCCCUCGGCUUAACCGAGGAAGUGCAUCGGAAACUGGGAAACUUGAGUGCAGAAGAGGACAGUGGAACUCCAUGUGUAGCGGUGAAAUGCGUAGAUAUAUGGAAGAACACCAGUGGCGAAGGCGGCUGUCUGGUCUGUAACUGACGCUGAGGCUCGAAAGCAUGGGUAGCGAACAGGAUUAGAUACCCUGGUAGUCCAUGCCGUAAACGAUGAAUGCUAGGUGUUGGAGGGUUUCCGCCCUUCAGUGCCGCAGCUAACGCAUUAAGCAUUCCGCCUGGGGAGUACGACCGCAGGGUUGAAACUCAAAGGAAUUGACGGGGGCCCGCACAAGCGGUGGAGCAUGUGGUUUAAUUCGAAGCAACGCGAAGAACCUUACCAGGUCUUGACAUCUUUUGAUCACCUGAGAGAUCAGGUUUCCCCUUCGGGGGCAAAAUGACAGGUGGUGCAUGGUUGUCGUCAGCUCGUGUCGUGAGACGUUGGGUUAAGUCCCGCAACGAGCGCAACCCUUAUGACUAGUUGCCAGCAUUUAGUUGGGCACUCUAGUAAGACUGCCGGUGACAAACCGGAGGAAGGUGGGGAUGACGUCAAAUCAUCAUGCCCCUUAUGACCUGGGCUACACACGUGCUACAAUGGAUGGUACAACGAGUUGCGAGACCGCGAGGUCAAGCUAAUCUCUUAAAGCCAUUCUCAGUUCGGACUGUAGGCUGCAACUCGCCUACACGAAGUCGGAAUCGCUAGUAAUCGCGGAUCAGCACGCCGCGGUGAAUACGUUCCCGGGCCUUGUACACACCGCCCGUCACACCAUGAGAGUUUGUAACACCCGAAGCCGGUGGCGUAACCCUUUUAGGGAGCGAGCCGUCUAAGGUGGGACAAAUGAUUAGGGUGAAGUCAUAACA